rnacentral:rRNA from 1 species
ACGAACGCUGGCGGCGUGCUUAACCCAUGCAGGUCGAACGCUGAAGCUCAGCUUUUGUUGGGUGGAUGAGUGGCGAACGGGUGAGUAACACGUGAGUAACCUGCCUCCUUCUUUGGGAUAACGCCCGGAAACGGGUGCUAAUACUGGAUAUUCACUGGUCUUCGCAUGGGGGUUGGUGGAAAGGGUUUUUCUGGUGGGGGAUGGGCUCGCGGCCUAUCAGCUUGUUGGUGGGGUGAUGGCCUACCAAGGCUUUGACGGGUAGCCGGCCUGAGAGGGUGCCCGGUCACAUUGGGACUGAGAUACGGCCCAGACUCGUACGGGAGGCAGCAGUGGGGAAUAUUGCACAAUGGGCGCAAGCCUGAUGCAGCGACGCCGCGUGAGGGAUGGCGGCCUUCGGGUUGUGAACCUCUUUCGCUCAUGGUCAAGCCGCAACAAUGGUUGUGGUGAGGGUAGUGGGUAAAGAAGCGCCGGCUAACUACGUG